ensembl:lncRNA
GUCCACCACCCAACGGACAUCCAGCCAACUUGACACAACUGUGGGAAGCAUUGGAGUCAACUUAGGCCAGCUUCCCUGUGGAACGCUUUCAACACCUUGUAGAGUCCAUGUCCCUGACGAAUUGAGGCUGUUCUGAGGGCAAAAGGGGGUGAAACUGAAUUUUAGGUAGGUGUCCUUACCUGUAGUAGACAAAGUCCCAGCCCGAGCUGAGGUCUUGUACAGCGGAGCCUGGUAGAGAGACGGAUCAGGGUCAUAGUUCUGCUGGGGUUCGAAGUGCACCACGGGAAGCAUGGCGUUCAUCACCCGUGGCAACGCAUCCUCGAUCACCAUGUCGACGUCGUCCCAGCGACUGGCGUCCAUGAACAUCCCGUGCACCAGCACGCCGUCGUUGAUGCGCUACAACAAGCAGCGCAGCAGUAAUGAAUGAGGAGGAAAGUGUAUCGAAAUACUACGACUCGAGUUUGGCCUUCAGCUGGAAGACGGUGUCCCUUUAUGGUCGGGGUCAGUGGAGGAAAGGGAGAGCGGAGGGAUGUUGAGAGACGGACCCUCAGUCUGCUGCUCUCUCCCUCCGCUGAGACUGACCAUCAGAUGCAGGCACCAUCAGCCCAGUAAAAUAAACAGCUAAUUAUUUAAAUGUAUGCUCACUCAGC